UACGGAGGGUGCGAGCGUUGUCCGGAAUCACUGGGCGUAAAGGGCGCGUAGGCGGCCUGAUAAUUAGGGGGUGAAAUCCUGCGGCUUAACCGCAGGGCUGCCUUCUAAACUGUCAGGCUCGAGCACAGUAGAGGCAGGUGGAAUUCCCGGUGUAGCGGUGGAAUGCGUAGAGAUCGGGAAGAACAUCAGUGGCGAAGGCGGCCUGCUGGGCUGUUGCUGACGCUGAGGCGCGACAGCGUGGGGAGCAAACAGG
rnacentral:rRNA from 1 species